UACAGAGGUCCCAAGCGUUUGUUCGGAUUCAUUGGGCGUAAAGGGUGCGUAGGUGGCGCGGUAAGUCGGGUGUGAAAUCUCGGAGCUUAACUCCGAAAUUGCAUUCGAUACUGCCGUGCUCGAGGACUGGAGAGGAGACUGGAGUUCAUGGUGUAGCAGUGAAAUGCGUAGAGAUCAUGAGGAAGACCAGUGGCGAAGGCGGGUCUCUGGACAGUUCCUGACACUGAGGCACGAAGGCCAGGGGAGCAAACGGG
rnacentral:rRNA from 1 species